rnacentral:rRNA from 1 species
CUCAGGAUGAACGCUGGCGGCGUGCUUAACACAUGCAAGUCGAACGAAGCAAUUGGAGUGCUUGCACUUUGAUUGACUGAGUGGCGGACGGGUGAGUAACGCCGUGGGUAACCUGCCUCACACAGGGGGAUAACAGUUGGAAACAGCUGCUAAUACCGCAUAAGCGCACAGUACCGCAUGGUACAGUGUGAAAAACUCCGGUGGUGUGAGAUGGACCCGCGUCUGAUUAGCUAGUUGGUGAGGUAACGGCCCACCGAGGCGACGAUCAGUAGCCGGCCUGAGAGGGUGGACGGCCACAUUGGGACUGAGACACGGCCCAAACUCCUACGGGAGGCAGCAGUGGGGAAUAUUGCACAAUGGGGGAAACCCUGAUGCAGCGACGCCGCGUGAACGAUGAAGUAUUUCGGUAUGUAAAGUUCUAUCAGCAGGGAAGAUAAUGACGGUACCUGACUAAGAAGCACCGGCUAAAUACGUG